UUUAUACAGUGAAACUGCGAAUGGCUCAUUAAAUCAGUUAUAGUUUAUUUGAUAGUACCUUACUUACUCGGAUAUCCGUGGUAAUUCUAGAGCUAAUACGUGCUAAAAACCCCGACUGCUUGGGAGGGGUGUAUUUAUUAGAUAAAAAAUCAAUGCCUUCGGGCUCUUUGAUGAUUCAUAAUAACUUCUCGAAUCGCAUGGCUUCGUGCUGGCGAUGGUUCAUUCAAAUUUCUGCCCUAUCAACUUUCGAUGGUAGGAUAGUGGCCUACCAUGGUGGCAACGGGUAACGGGGAAUAAGGGUUCGAUUCCGGAGAGGGAGCCUGAGAAACGGCUACCACAUCCAAGGAAGGCAGCAGGCGCGCAAAUUACCCAAUCCUAAUUCAGGGAGGUAGUGACAAUAAAUAACGAUACAGGGCCCUUUCGGGUCUUGUAAUUGGAAUGAGUACAAUGUAAAUACCUUAACGAGGAACAAUUGGAGGGCAAGUCUGGUGCCAGCAGCCGCGGUAAUUCCAGCUCCAAUAGCGUAUAUUAAAGUUGUUGCAGUUAAAAAGCUCGUAGUUGAACUUUGGGCUUGGUUGGCCGGUCCGUUUUUAUGACGUGUACUGGUCCCAACCGAGCCUUUCCUUCUGGCUAACCAUCCUUUCGGGGGUGGCGAACCAGGACUUUUACUUUGAAAAAAUUAGAGUGUUCAAAGCAGGCCUUUGCUCGAAUAUAUUAGCAUGGAAUAAUAGAAUAGGACGUUUGGUUCUAUUUUGUUGGUUUCUAGGACCAUCGUAAUGAUUAAUAGGGACGGUCGGGGGCAUCAGUAUUCAAUUGUCAGAGGUGAAAUUCUUGGAUUUAUUGAAGACUAACUACUGCGAAAGCAUUUGCCAAGGACGUUUUCAUUAAUCAAGAACGAAAGUUAGGGGAUCGAAGAUGAUCAGAUACCGUCGUAGUCUUAACCAUAAACUAUGCCGACUAGGGAUCGGGUGUUGUUUUUUUAAUGACUCACUCGGCACCUUACGAGAA
rnacentral:rRNA from 1 species